GAGGAACUAAAAAAAAUUGCUACCAUUUGCUAUUAAUAUAACUUGAAUUACCAGGGGCUGAUUAUGUUACAGAUGUAAAGUCAUUAAUACAUAUAAAUAACACCUCAAAAUACCAACUAAAACUGUGAAUACCUAAGCUAAACCAUCUAAAAUGACUUAGUAGACAACGGGGUAAGAAAUUUAGUACAGCCAAAUAGACUUCCUCCCCUGGCAAUUAUGCUCUCCAAGAUCAAACCUGGUUACAAAGGCAAAGGGGGACUAGUGUUACAAUUCUCUCAAUAACACAGGGUAAGAAGUUUUAUUUCCCCCUCAAAAUAAGGUAAAGAGAUCACCCUUUGUCAAACAUGUUCAAGGAAGUUCUUGUUCCAAUUUCUCACUGUGCUCACAAGGCAUCUCGCUGCAAAGAUGCAUAAGGGAAGCUUCCUCAACUAUUCUGCUGUAUAUCAACAAUUUCACAGAUGCCUUCUUGCUCAAAGUGAAGUUCCAAUUUAGCAGGAUGCAUGCCAAAGAAAUGUAGCUCAGUCCAGAUGUUAGCAACUUAGAAACUGAACAAGAAAAGAGGGGGCAAGAAGAAGAGGAGGAGGUCUAACACACCAGUAGUUGACACAGCUAAAAUAAUUAUGAUCCUAAACUCGGACCAAUGCAUUAGUAACUGCAGCUCAAAAUUGUGCCACGUAGGUAUUGGCUGAGUGGCAGGUUCAGAAACUUUGCUAAAUAAGAAAAUAUGCAUCUAAUUUAGCUAAAAUACUUGCUCUGCACCAUAAACUGGUUAAAUAAAUGGCAAGAAUUCUUCAACAUCUGCAAUAAGCCAAAAAGUAAAUGUAUUCACUGUUAGGUACACAAGUUGCUGAGGCAAUUCUCACUGCAGAGGACUAGGAUGUUAGCAAACACAGCAUCACAUGACAGCCCUAGAACUUUCAUAACUUUUCUGCACAUUGAGAACAUAUCGAGCAACUGCCCAAGAAAAUAUGUCUGCAUCCCCCUAAGAGUUACGCAACAACUUAAGAAAAUGAAGAUAUUGUUAUAAAUAUUUCAAGGACAGCACAUUUGAUAUACAUUCUGCCUGUCUCUACGGCUUAGAUGGAGGAUGAAUAUUUACACUUUGAAUAGCACUAAAAUGCAAAACGGGUUAGAAGAUUUAUGUCCCAGAAAUCUGGCAUUUCAGAUUUUUGCUGCGAAUGGUGCAUACAUAAAUUUAAACAGCCACCAAGUCCUCUCUCUCUAAUCUAAUCAUCCACUACAUUCUUGUCACACCCUUUUUCUAAUGCAAGACUCACCUGAAAGAGACUACUUUGCCUGGGAAGUGAAAAUGAUUGAUUGGUAAAGAAAGCCAGAAGUUGAUGAUGUCUCCCUAGACUAAACUGAGAAAUAUUAACUCUUGCAUGAGGAGAAUGACUAUGCCUACUUCGAGGUUCUUCAAUUUCCAAUGGAGAUCCUCUUAUCACCUAUUAGUAUAUAGAGAAAGCAUGCUUUAUUCUUCUAUUUUGCUCUUCUCUAUAAACUUACAUACAGGCACCUCCAGUAGCUCUAUAAAGAUCAUAUGCAUAUCUGACAGCAUAAUUAUUGAAAAGAUGUAUGCAAGACAGAAUAGCCAUGUAGACAGAUGCACUAGGCGAUAGCUCAACAUUAAGGCAGUGUAAAUCACAUUCCAUCUCCACUCAUGCAUGCCAAUAAAUAAUAAGAAACAAACCGCAGAACAAGGGUAACUAUCAGAACUUACCAGAAGUUUUCAUGCCAGGAAGAUUCUAGAAUACAGCAACCACCCAACAAAAUUAUGAUGCUCCUGCUCCACGUCAAUUGCUGCAACUGCAAUGUUUAUAACUCAAGAAGUAUCUGUUAGCAAGAACUGCAAAUCUAAAAUGCAAUUAACAUUAUUCAACUCAAUCACAUAAUAUGGAUGCAUAAAAAUUGGCUGAUAAAUAAAGCCAAUUGAACUUUACAAAGACGAAAUUUGAAAAUCAAGAAAGAAUGAGAGCUGUUAUUCAAUCAAAUAAUAAUAUAUAUAAUGAUCAACUGAUACAAUCUAUUCCUAUAUAACCAAAAAUCCACAAGCGCACCAUGUGCUGAUGCAAAUGAAGCCCUAUUGAUCUAAAUUCUUUGAUUUAUCAUCUUUUUUCUGGCUAGCAUGACUCUCUGGCUGCUCAACAGGAUUUUCAUCAGCCGGCCACUUCUGAAUACCCGAACUUCCUGCCACUUGUGCAGAACCUAAAUCCCAGAUAUCUGAGAAACCACCAGUUGAUCCUAACUCUGGCACAUCAUAGUUGACAAGAUUACCCCAUAACUCUUGGCUAGAACUAGACAUACCAGCUUGGUUGUCAAAUCCCAUGCUCCAUACAUCCUCUUGUUUCAUAAUGCUUUCAAUCCCAGUACAUGAGAAUUCCAGAAAAUUCUUCUCUGUUGCCAAAACCUCAGGGAAAGAAACGAAAUAUUCAGGAGCAACUUCUUGUUCUGGACUGAUAACAUUCUUUCCUUUAAUCUGGGGAUCUUCACUCCCCAAGUUUGAUUUGCCUUCUUGAAACUGCUCUGGAGUUUUGAUAUAUCCUUGGGCCAUUGCUAGUUCAUCUGACAUGGCAAACUCAUUAGAUGGAACAUUCUCAAGUUGAAAAGCCAUGCCUUCAACAUCUUUACCCAUUUCUACCAUCUCUUGUAAGAUGUAAUCUGGAGUUUGUUCAACAGGAGCAGGGUUUACAUCUGGGACUACAGCGGAUGAUGAUAGGUUUGUCCACUCAGGUCUGUACCUCACAAUCUGCCCUUCCAUAGGUGAUUCAGAUUGUCCUGGCUCAUGGUGCUGUUGCUCGACAAACUUCCUUUUCAUCCUUGAUGAACCAAUAUCUCCCUGUUUCUUAUUUUGCCUAAGGCGGGCCAAGAAUGCUGGAUUCUGAAACAACUUUACCAAGAAUGAAAUCAUCUGCUUCUGCCUCUGCUCUGCUCCCUGAAGCCUUUGACGCACUGCUUCCAUAUGAUGAACAGCUCCAUGCUGCUCCUGGUGCAGUUCUACAACCUCUUGCAUCAUCAUACUCCUCUCUUCACUCAAUCUUUCUAUCUCUCUUUCCAGUUCUGACUUUCCCACUUCAGUAGAAGGCCCAGUAUAGCUAGCAAACUGCCGGGAUUGGGGUGACUUGCGCCUCUGUAUAUUCUUCAACAGACGCCUCUCACCUCGCCGGAAAGCUUCAUUGGCAAAUUCCCACUUAUCACUGUCAAUCUUGCGGAACCCCUGAAUACAUUAUCCAAAGUUCUUCAAGAAUGAAUGGGGAAGAAACAGAAGUCCAUGAAACAAAAUAUAGAAACAUUUGAUUCAAAUAAUAAAUAUGUGCUUCAUGAAAGAAAACCUGAAUCUGUCACUUUCAUGCACAACCUUAGUCAGAUGUCACUGAACAGGAUUUUCAUAACAUGCACACAAUAAUAAAAUAUGCUCCACCAGAACCUUAAAUUCUACCUGCACAAGAUGUAACUCCCCACUCCAAUACACGCUCAGAGGGGAAGGAUGUCCUUUCGUUGGCAGUAUGAAGAGCAGAACCUUUACAGUUCUCUUAAAUCUACCAUAUUCAUUUCUUAAAGGAGAAGACAAGCCUAACCCAUAGGUGAUUCUCCCUCAACAUUACAAUUCUACAAUUCUAAAGGUAACUACAAUAAUCAUUACAAUUCAACUGGAUACAUAUCAAUCCAUUACAGUUACAUGUACGAUUACAAGAAUUAUCCUAUACAAACCACAAAAUUUACAAAAUUCGAAAGUAGUCCCAAUGCAAAAAGUUUUCCUCAGCUACAUCUACAAGUAUUGAACAAAUGUUAGAUCCAAUUACAAUUUCAGCUUCAGUUGGAAAAAAAAAGAAUCGAAAGAAGGAAAAGACUAACAAAAACAAAACAUGAGAAGGAACAAAUAUUCAGCAAGGAAAGAGCACAGCAGCCAAUGGUGGCUGUUGUGGUAAUGCAAUACCCACAUAAGUAUUGAGUUGCCGAACAAAACUGGAGAAAUUGUUGUGCUUGAAAUUCCGAGGCAGUAUGACCCUAGCGAAUUCCACUGGGUCCCACACCACAAAGCUUUCCCCUGUGGUCCCCCACGAGAUUAUCGGGUCCAGCGUCCGAUCGUUUACCAGAUCAUAAGUUUUCGAGAGAAACGGCGGCAUAGGAUUCUCCUGUAAGCUGGCAAGAGGAUGAGGCAUCCCAAUGUUCUCCUCCGCGUAAUCACCUGUAUAUACUCCACUAGCUAGUUCAGUAGGGGCUCUUUCAGUUUCAGAUAUAGGAUUUGUUUUGAAUUCAAAAAUCUCCGAAGGAGAAUAAACUGAUUGUUCUAUGACAGAGAAUGCUCCGAAUUCCAUUAAAGGAUAAGGGAUCGGCGCAGAUAAAGGAGACUCAGAGUAGCUCAAAUCCUCCAUAGUAGGGAACAGUCGAGAACCCAUCAAUGGCUGUAACAAGGAUGGAGUCGCCUCCGAUUCCGACGUAGAAGAUGAAUCGGAAGGUUUACGAGGCGAUUUUGGAGAUUUUUCUUCUUCAGGAACCAUUUGUUAAGGUACAAAAAUCAAUGGGUACUUGUUUCGGUUUCGGUUCUAAGAGAGAAAAAAGGCGUAAUAAGGUAUCACGUGGUCGGUGAGAAAUGUAAGGUGGAAAGGGUUUAUAUGGGGGUUUAAAAGGUUUCGCCGACUAACUGUUUGAUAAAAAUCUAAAGGGAGGCGGUGAAAGUUCGGGUCUUCUUCCUCAGCCACGGCCAUAAAAUCUUUGCGAGGCAUUGGCUGGGAUUCACAGCAAGUGUCACUGUGUUAGAGAGAGCCGAUCCGAACUUUCCUAAUCCUUGCAGGAGGCGCAGAUAUUUUCAAUUUUUUAUUAGUUGUGUUUUGAUUCCAUGGGGCUGUGCAAUUCCCUUAUUGGCUCUCGAAGAAAAAUACUGUUUUCAGGUUGAAAGUGGAUGACGCUG
rnacentral:misc_RNA from 1 species